rnacentral:rRNA from 1 species
CCCUUAGACGUUCUGGGCCGCACGCGCGCUACACUGACGGAGCCAGCGAGUAUAAACCUUGGCCGAGAGGUCUGGGAAAUCUUGUGAAACUCCGUCGUGCUGGGGAUAGAGCAUUGUAAUUAUUGCUCUUCAACGAGGAAUUCCUAGUAAGCGCAAGUCAUCAGCUUGCGUUGAUUACGUCCCUGCCCUUUGUACACACCGCCCGUCGCUACUACCGAUUGAAUGGCUUAGUGAGGCUUCCGGAUUGGUUUAGAGAAGGGGGCAACUCCAUCUUGGAACCGAGAAGCUAGUCAAACUUGGUCAUUCAGAGGAAGUAAAAGUCGUAACA